GAAAUUCACUCGACGUAACGACUUGUUUGUUGCGUCGGAGCGUGGGGGUCUUUGCCUUGCCGUCACUGGCGAGGCUCCCUUCAAAUGCGUUAGCUGGCCCUUUGCUGGUCUGCCCACUGGCUUGAUAUUAAAACGUCGAUGCCGCCGGGUGACUUUGCUUUCAAAGGUCGCUUACAGCCGUCCUCUUCUGGACAAACAUCUUCUGAG
rnacentral:misc_RNA from 1 species